rnacentral:misc_RNA from 1 species
UUUCCUGACUUGGACUUCAACCUGUAAGAAACAAAAUAACAGUUCCCACAAACGCAUCAACAUUCCAGAAGGAAUUCGCAAGAUAAUGAAUAUUAGUAACUAAUGAUAAGUUUAAGGCCUCCCAGAAUUUAAUCCAGCUAAAAGGCUUUCUUUUAUAGCAUUUUACAGACUCUAGUACUCCCUUUUUCUUUCCUUCAAAAAUCUUUACAGUAUGCUUGAAUAAAUUCAGCCUCCAAUGUCUAUAACUAACUAAUCUCUCUAGGCCUACAAUUCUUUUUUUUUUAAUUAUUGGCUCACAAAAUAGCAUGCAUGAACAACCACCAAUGCACUCAUCUGUAAAUACAAAAACUUCCGAGAGAUGGGCUCGUGAGACUCGCCAGAUCAGAAAGUUGAUGCCCAAAACAAAUGAGACUCGACAGAUCAGAUAGUUGAUGCCCAGAUUUGAAAGACGUCGACGUAGCUU